rfam:Pseudomonas sp. Bc-h sc_007, whole genome shotgun sequence.
UUGGUUAGAAAUCAACUCAGGUUGUCGCCGCAACGACGACAGCACCACGCCCGCGACGCCGGCAGCGGGCAUGCAAAGGCAGAAGAUUUCUGCCCGACCUCGACCUGAGGUCUCCAGGGACAUAACAGUCAAC